rnacentral:rRNA from 1 species
GACGAACGCUGGCGGCGUGCUUAACACAUGCAAGUCGAGCGGUAAGGCCCUUUCGGGGGUACACGAGCGGCGAACGGGUGAAUAACACGUGGGUGACCUGCCCUCAGCUCUGGGAUAAGCCUGGGAAACCGGGUCUAAUACCGGAUAUGACUCCAUGACGCAUGUUGUGGGGUGGAAAGCCUUGUGCGGCUGAGGAUGGGCCCGCGGCCUAUCAGCUUGUUGGUGGGGUGANGGCCUACCAAGGCGACGACGGGUAGCCGGCCUGAGAGGGCGACCGGCCACACUGGGACUGAGACACGGCCCAGACUCCUACGGGAGGCAGCAGUGGGGAAUCUUGCGCAAAUGGGCGAAAGCCUGACGCAGCGACGCCGCGUGAGGGAUGACGGCC